UGCGUAGGCGGUUUGGUAAGUCUUGUGUGAAAUCUUCGGGCUCAACUCGAAGUCUGCACGAGAAACUGCCGGGCUUGAGUAUGGGAGAGGUGAGUGGAAUUCCGGUUCCCCCGUAGCGGUGAAAUGCGUAGAUAUCGGGAGGAACACCUGUGGCGAAAGCGGCUCACUGGACCAUAACUGACGCUGAGGCACGAAAGCUAGGGGAGCAAACAGGAUUAGAUACCCUGGUAGUCCUAGCCCUAAACGAUGAUCGCUUGGUGUGACGGGUACCCAAUCCCGCCGUGCCGAAGCUAACGCGUUAAGCGAUCCGCCUGGGGAGUACGGUCGCAAGGCUGAA
rnacentral:rRNA from 1 species